CUUGGAAAUGGGAAAAUUUUCCAAGGAUCUGGAAUUAAUUUCUCAAACCUCACUCGCUCAAAGACUUAUCCUCUAGCAUUUGCAGAAGAAGUUGCUUCUGAUUUUGCACCAUUAUCAGAUGCCAGGAACUGCUAUCCGGGAUCUCUAAAUUCAACAAAAGUAGCAGGAAAAAUAAUUGUCUGCACAUAUACUGAAGGAGCUAUACCAAGGUCAAUCAAAAAAUUAGUGGUUGAAGGUGACAAAGCCGAAGGACUAAUUUUGAUCGAUGAAGCUGAGAAAGAUUUACCAUUCAAUUCAGGAAUCUUCCCAUUUUCUGAAGUUGGGAAUGUUGUAGGGUCUCAAAUUCUGAAUUACAUUAACUCUACCAAGUGAGUUAUUAUUUUUAAUCAUACUUAUUUAUAAAAUCAUUAUUCUUGCUUACCUUUCUUUUUAAAGAAUCUAUAUUGACAAAUUUUAUAACCAUCGAUUUAGGAACCCAACUGCAACCAUACUUCCAACAACUGAAAUUCGAAAGUGCAGACCAGCUCCUGUUGUUGCUUAUUUCUCAUCAAGGGGUCCCGGAUGGCUUACACAAAACAUUCUUAAGGU